rnacentral:rRNA from 1 species
AUCUUCCACAAUGGACGAAAGUCUGAUGGAGCGACGCCGCGUGCGGGAUGAAGGCCUUCGGGUUGUAAACCGCUGUCGAGGGGAAUCAAAUUUUGAGUGAUCCCUGGAGGAAGCACCGGCUAAACUCGUGCCAGCAGCCGCGGUAAUACGAGUGGUGCAAACGUUGUUCGGAGUUACUGGGCUUAAAGGGUGCGUAGGCGGCCAUGUAGGUCUGAUGUGAAAUACCACGGCUCAACCGUGGAACUGCGUUGGAUACCGCAUGGCUGGAGUGAGACAGAGGUAAGCGGAACUGAUGGUGGAGCGGUGAAAUGCGUUGAUAUCAUCAGGAACACCGGUGGCGAAAGCGGCUUACUGGGUCUUUACUGACGCUGAUGCACGAAAGCUAGGGGAGCAAACGGGAUUAGAUACCCCGGUAGUCCUAGCUGUAAACGAUGAGUACUAGUCCGUGGGGACCCCCACAUCCUCUCGGACGUAGCGAAAGUGUUAAGUACUCCGCCUGGGGAGUAUGGUCGCAAGGCUGAAACUCAAAGGAA